ACCUAAAAAUAAAAAACAUAAAAACUAUAAAUAAAAUAAAAUAGCAUGCAAUAGUAUCGGACAGUAACUAGCAUAAGACAAAAUCCAAUAAACAAAUCAUCUAUGAAUAGCCAUGCCAAACCUCACCCAACCCCGGGUGUGGAGUAUGAAAAACUCUAGGGGCCCCUACCCCUAACCCUGAUACUAGACCUCCAUACUUUCCUAUUCAGGGUCAUGUCCUCAGAAACCCGCAUUCUAGCCAUGUCAUGCCUAAUCACCUCUCCCCAAUACCUCUUAGGCCUCCCUCUGCCUCGCCGUACGCCGNNNNNN
rnacentral:lncRNA from 1 species